rnacentral:rRNA from 1 species
GACGAACGCUGGCGGCGUGCCUAAUACAUGCAAGUAGAACGCUGAAGGAGGAGCUUGCUUCUCUGGAUGAGUUGCGAACGGGUGAGUAACGCGUAGGUAACCUGCCUGGUAGCGGGGGAUAACUAUUGGAAACGAUAGCUAAUACCGCAUAAUAUUGACUAUUGCAUGAUAGUCAGUUGAAAGGUGCAACUGCACCACUACCAGAUGGACCUGCGUUGUAUUAGCUAGUUGGCGGGGUAACGGCUCACCAAGGCGACGAUACAUAGCCGACCUGAGAGGGUGAUCGGCCACACUGGGACUGAGACACGGCCCAGACUCCUACGGGAGGCAGCAGUAGGGAAUCUUCGGCAAUGGACGGAAGUCUGACCGAGCAACGCCGCGUGAGUGAAGAAGGUUUUCGGAUCGUAAAGCUCUGUUGUAAGAGAAGAACGAGUGUGAGAGUGGAAAGCUCACACUGUGACGGUAUCUUACCAGAAAGGGACGGCUAACUACGUG